rnacentral:rRNA from 1 species
AUGUUUUUUAUCCCUUGGUUUUUUCUCUUACUCGUUAUGCAUCAGGGCAUCACCAGUCGGUCGUCGCUGUCUCUCGCUGGUUCUCCAUCCCAUCCAGAUCCCACCGCCCGCAGCCCUUCCCCUACUCAACGAGGCAUCUCUCCCUCCUUUUCCCGGCGAGCCGCACCGCCCCCAUCCCCAUCUCGGUGCUCCUCAUUCCUUUAUCAUGCUACCCAACGGGCUCCCUCCCUCUUCUGCUACACGAAUACCGGCGAGAUCCGAGAGACGGGGCACUGUAGAUAUCGUCAUCAACCUCUGUGCCUUGUGCGGAACGUCCCUUCCCACCUCGUGCUCCUCCAACCGUCCCUUUCUCGAGCUUAUUGUUGCCGUCGUAGUGCAGCUGCAUCUGAUGUCCACACCAUGUAUAUGGGGUUCUUCAGAACCAUAUACAUGGUGUGA